ensembl:lncRNA
CUACUUCUCGCAACAACUCUCCGAGGUAUUAUUAGCCCCGUUUCACCCAGGGACGAGCGGCAGCGGAGGCUGCGACUCGCCCGAGGCAGCGGCGCGGCGGCCACACGCCGAGCCCACCGGGCGGCACCGGCGGACACCCGGCGCCACAGCCCGGCCGGGGGCGGCUCCCCCCGCCCCGGGGCCGCUCCUCCGGGCGCUCGGGAGGGCCGGGAGCGAGGCCGCCAGCAAACAACGGGCCGGGAGCGAGCGCCACGACAACGGCGGCGCCGGGGCAGCCCCGGGACGGGACCCGCCGGGGCGGGCACCCCGCAGGCCUCGGCCUGGAAGGGGCGGGGGGCGCGGCGCGGGGCUGACAGCCGCCCCCACACCGCCCCCCCCCGGGGCCGGGCCGGCGGAGCCCCGGAGCCGCCGGGCAGCGACGGGCGGAGGGGAGCGGAGCCCAGGGGGCGAGCACGGAACGGGGGCGUGAGGGGCGUGAGGGGCGCGGGGGGUCCCCCCCGGUGGCCGCUCCCCCCCCCCCCUCGGUGUCCGCACCGCCGCCGCCCCUCCUCCUUCUCCUUUUUGCUGCCCCCUCCCCAAAUUCUCCGUGUCCCGGGCCGGGACCCCGCGCUGCCCGCAGCCGCCGCCUCGCUUACCUGCGGGCGCGGGGUGCCGGGGAGGCGGGCCCCCGCUGGCCGGGCCCCCGGCGGCCGGAGGUGGCCGUGCCGGGCCGAGGCCGCGGCGUCGCGGAGCCGGGCCGGGCCGUGCGGGUGCCGCUGUGUUUACGCCGCCGCCACAGCCACAGCCGCCGCCGGGGCUCGGCGCUCCGCAGGCGCUCAGCAGCCAGUCGCCAUUUCCCGCCUACCGACCUGCUGCACCGCACCGAGGGACCCGGAUGGCAGCGGGGCCGCCGCGCACGCGCAGCCACGGCCGGGGGAGGAGGAGGAGGAGGAGGAGGAGGAGGAGGAGGGGGCCGCCGGGGGCCGGCAGCGCCGGGCAGGCCGGGAAGGAGGGGAGCGGGCGGCGGGGACGGGACCGGCUGGGCUGGGCUGGGCUCGGUGCCUGCCCCCGCUGCUGAGGACCGGGGGUGCCUCGAGGAGCGGCUCUGGGCCGGGCCGGGCCCUGAGCCCAGCCCUGUCAGCAGGAGCCUUCGGUUCUCAGAGUAACGUGCUUGGUGACCUCAGGACGGCUUCUGGAGCUAGCGUGGAAGCAGCACGCUUCCACAAAAGCAGCUUUUGUGGGAACUCGCAGAGCAGCAGGCAGAAACCCGCAGGUUUGAAUGUAACUUCCAGCGAUUGCGUCCAGCACUUCUCAGCAAGACUCCAAAGUCGUAUGCUGCUGGAGCUCUUCUUCCCUGCGUCAGGACCCACACGCAAGGAUCAGGUCACGCCUGGAAUUCUGUUUCAUAAGCUGAAGAGGGUGCAUUCCUAA